rnacentral:lncRNA from 1 species
UUUGAAGAAAGGCAAACUUCAAAUGUGGCCCGUGUCCAAAUGCAAGAGAUCUUCAUAAAACUACUUAACAUUAAUUAUGGUUAACUUUCAAAAACGGCAAAUAGCAAAAGGGAAACUGUUGAAGCUAUUAAGAGAACCAGCUCAGCCCUGAAGGGGACAGCUCCAUGUGUGUGCAC